AUGAAGGGGUGUGUUAAUGUUUUACUUCCAAGGCCAUUCCUGAUGACAACAGGCAGCCUAUGUGUUAAGGUAAGGGGUCACAGCAGGGAGGAGGGUGCUGCGAGCUGCCUGGCAGUAGUGCUGCAGGCUGGAGCCUCACUGUGGGGCUGCUGCAUGAGCCCAGGGCCACGGAGCUCUUAGGGCAGGUGCGGGAAAAGAGCUGGGUGCACACACAGUGGCUGGGUAAGCAAGGGUGGGUUGCAGAGGCUGUGCCAGUCUCUCACAUGGGCAGUGGUCACAGCUAGAGGGAGGGGAUGGAGGUAGUGAUUGCCUCAAAUGCCGCAUCUGUCCUCAGAUGAUGUGUGAACGUGGCUAAAAGGGUACUGUGGGGCUGGAGUCUACUUACUUCUCCUGCUGACACUCUUCCACUUUGCUGACAUGCUUUGGUCCAUGCUGCACCCAUGUGUGUCCCCUCUCCGGCAAAUGCCCUAAGCCCUUCACUAAAGAGUUAUUCUCAUGCUGUCUGACUCAGUGAAUAUUCAAGCAUUGCAAGCAAAGUGGAACAGAUCCAAAAGGAGAGACUGAGGCAAAAUGACCUCAUAAGGCAAUCUUCUUGCAUUUAGGGCACACUUCUGAGGCUGUGGUUCAGUGAACCAGUGCUCCUCCUAUAGGAUCAAAUGCAGCCCGGAUGGAUUUGUAUUCCAAGUGCUGACACUGGUUUUGUGCUGGUUCCAAAAAUGUUGAUGGGUUAUCUUCAACACCCAGCUUUAUGCUGACAGAAACUGCUUGUUGUCCUGCAGCCAGCAAAAGGCCAGUGCAAGGGUAAAGGCAGCAUAAAGACCAGUCACAAGGCAGGUUCAAGAGAAAUACGCUUGUUUGCUCCUUUCCGACCUGGAUCAGAUUGGUACUUGUGGUACAUGUACAGAUUUGUACAAAUUUGUGGCUGAUCAGUGGAUGCAGGUGUUGGAGAUGCAUUCUCAAAUCCUUGCUCUAGAAGUGACUGAGACAGAGAACAGUUACUGUAGAGUGGAUUGUUGAAGAUACUUGCCCAAGGGGGGGGAGAUCUUUUCUUUCUGACCCUGAUCAAGUGACUGUCAGUUUAUUGAAAAAUUGAAGAAAUUACAACACACAGUCCUGAGAAUAUCUAUUCCCUCUUCUGUGGGGAAUUGUACUAGAGCUUGUUGAACUGUUUCCUUGAAAA
rnacentral:lncRNA from 1 species